AUUCUUUCCAGUUUUAGAGUAUUUCCAUACUUAUUUUGCUCUAAGAGAAGAUGGGCUGACAUGUUAGGGCCACAAUGGAAUAAGGAUGAGCUUGAACAUUUCUAUGAAGCUUACCGUAAAUAUGGGAAAGAUUGGAAGAAGGUUAGUUCUAACUAGCUAGUCAUAAGGUACCUUGGAAAUGCAUCUAUAUAUGGUAGCAGCAACAACAUGAUAAGCUUGAGCGAGGAAGGUCUGCGUCUGGAUUGGAGGAACUCAUCAUGGGUUGCUCUUCAAGUGAAAUCAAAAAAGCUUUGAAGAUUUGGUGGUCCCGUGAAGUAGG